AGGUUUUAAAUCUCUAUGGAUAAUUGGAGGUUUGCAACCAUUGUGUAGAUACUCCAAUCCUGUAAAAUGGCAUACGAGAAUUUCUUGUGAUGAGAUGUUAUACAGAAGUCGCAGCUGUGGCAAUAGCACCAAGAAUUCUGGUACUGCCCCUUCCAACUCAUUGUAGGAUAGAUCUCUGAGAAACAAGAACUCAAUUAAAACACCUUCAUAAUAUUAUGGCUUAAUCUUUCAAAGCAAAAACGAAGAUUUUUGGAGCAUGAAAAUAGAAAAGAAAAAUACUUACAAAUAGUUGAUGGCAGUGAGCAUGGAGAAGG